rnacentral:rRNA from 1 species
UACGGUUAAAGUAGUAAGGGCGCAGGGUGGAUGCCUUGGCACUAAGAGCCGAUGAAAGACGUGAUAAGCUGCGAAAAGCUUCGGGGAGGAGCACAUAUCCAAUGAUCCGGAGAUAUCUGAAUGGGGAAACCCGGCAGAGGAAACCUCUGUCAGCGUGCAGUGAAUACAUAGCUGUACGUGGGGAACCCGGGGAACUGAAACAUCUAAGUACCCGGAGGAAGAGAAAGAAAAUUUAUCGAUUUCCAAAGUAGCGGCGAGCGAAAUGGAAAGAGCCCAAACCGUGAUGCGUGCAUCGCGGGGUUCGGACUGCGUUGUGGCAGACGUAAGAUAGGAGAACGGACUGGGAAGUCCGGCCGGAGAGAGUGAAAGCCUCGUAUCCGAAAUCCCAAGUCGCCUAGCAGGAUCCAGAGUAGGACGAGACACGAGAAACCUUGUCUGAACGAGCGGGGACCACCCCGUAAGGCUAAAUACUUCUUAGUGACCGAUAGCGCAUAGUACUGUGAAGGAAAGGUGAAAAGUACCCCGGGAGGGGAGUGAAAGAGAACCUGAAACCCUGUGUCUACAAGCUGUGGGACCUCUUUAUAUGAGGGACUGCGUACUUUUUGUAGAACGGUCCGGCGAGUUGUGCGUACUGGCGAGGUUAAGGACUUAAGGUCUGGAGCCGAAGUGAAAGCAAGCGUUAAUAGCGCGUCAAGUCAGUGAGUGCAGACCCGAAACCGGGUGACCUAUCCAUGUCCAGGUUGAAGCUUCCGUAAGAGGAAGUGGAGGACCGAACCCACAUCCGUUGAAAAGGGUGGGGAUGAGGUGUGGAUAGCGGAGAAAUUCCAAUCGAACCCGGAGAUAGCUGGUUCUCCUCGAAAUAGCUUUAGGGCUAGCCUCAUGAGAGUCUUAUGGAGGUAGAGCACUGAAUUGCCUAGGGGGCGUCAAAGCUUACCAAAGCAUAUCAAACUCCGAAUGCCAUCAAGAUGAUUCAUGGGAGUCAGACCAUACGAGAUAAGUUGGAUGGUCAAAAGGGAAAGAGCCCAGACCUACAGCUAAGGUCCCAAAGUACGUGUUAAGUGGAAAAGGAUGUGGGGAUUCUAAGACAACUAGGACGUUGGCUUAGAAGCAGCCAUUCAUUGAAAGAGUGCGUAAUAGCUCACUAGUCGAGAGUCCCUGCGCCGAAAAUGUCCGGGGCUGAAACACGACACCGAAGCUUAGGAAUGUGUAAACAUUGGUAGAGGAGCAUUGCUGGCGGGAUGAAGCCAUACCGUAAGGAGUGGUGGACUGCUAGGAAGAGAGAAUGCCGGAAUGAGUAGCGAGAUGAAGGUGAGAAUCCUUCAGGCCGAAUAUCUAAGGUUUCCAGAGUAAAGCUGAUCUGCUCUGGGUAAGUCGGGACCUAAGGCGAGGUCGAAAGACGUAGUCGAUGGAUAACAGGUUGAAAUUCCUGUACCGCAUAUAAACAGAACUGUGGGGACACAGACAGGGAAUGGAAUCCGGGAGUGGAGAUCCCGGUGCAAGCGAGGUAGGAGUGCUGUUGGCAAAUCCGCAGCACGAUCUGAAGACGUGACGCGUACCGAACAUAAGUAGGGAAGUCCAGGCCCCUGGCUGUCAAGAAAAGCCGCUAUUGUUUUAUAUGUGCCCGUACCGCAAACCGACACAGGUGGAUGAGGAGAGAAUCCUAAGGCCGACGGGAGAAGUAUUGUUAAGGAACUCGGCAAAAUGACUCCGUAACUUCGGGAGAAGGAGUGCCAUGAGAGUGGCCGCAGAGAAAUGGCCCAAGCAACUGUUUAGCAAAAACACAGGUCUAUGCAAAACCGCAAGGUGAAGUAUAUGGGCUGACGCCUGCCCGGUGCUGGAAGGUUAAG